GCUGGGGUCAAUGGAAUAAACCCAGCCUGUGCCAGUACAGGCUCUGGAUUGGUGCCUGCCAUUGUGCGCAGUCACAAACACCGCUGAGUGCCAUGAAAUUAGAAUGAAAGAUUAAUAAAAUCAUAUUUUGCAUUGUCCUCAGCACAGACAGGCCAUUUGAAAUAGCACAGCAGCCACGUAUUGUUGUUGGUGGCUCUGAACCAUGUUGCUUUCAAAAUACACUGUUGUGUAUAGAAAUUAAUAUGGCUACAUGGUGAAAAGUAUUAUCCUCAGCAUUAUUUGUUAAUUUAGGCUUAUGGCUAAACAAUUCACUUCAUUUAGCCUUAUAGUUUUUGUUUUGAAUUGCACACAGCACUUCCAAGUGCUUUAUAAGCUCAGCUGUUCUCUAGGUUAUUUUCCUGGGAAUUUAGGAGGUGGUGCCCCUCAGUGUGGUGCUGAUAGAGUGUCCUCAAUACCAGUUAGAACCAGAAACAACUUUGUGGUCCAGCUGAAGACUGGAGCUGAAAAAAAGGCAGAUCAAAUUUCAUUUCUUGGAAAUGUAAUAGCCUCUAUUCUUGCAAUUACUCACCUAUGUCUUCUCAGAGUAGAGCUAAUUACUGGGAAAGAUAAGCUGCCCUUUUUUUUUCCUUUUUGUUACAGCUGGGGUGAUACUGGAUCAGUAUGA
ensembl:lncRNA